UACGUAGGGGCAAGCGUUGUCCGGAAUCAUUGGGCGUAAAGCGCGUGUAGGCGCCAGAAAAGUCCGCUGUGAAAACUCGAGGCUCAACUUCGAGCUGUCGGUGGAAACUUUCUGGCUAGAGUCCGGAAGAGGAGAAUGGAAUUCCUGGUGUAGCGGUGAAAUGCGCAGAUAUCAGGAAGAACACCCGUGGCGAAGGCGGUUCUCUGGGACGGUACUGACGCUGAGACGCGAAAGCGUGGGGAGCGAACAGG
rnacentral:rRNA from 1 species